rnacentral:rRNA from 1 species
UACGAAGGGGGCUAGCGUUGCUCGGAAUCACUGGGCGUAAAGGGUGCGUAGGCGGGUCUUUAAGUCAGGGGUGAAAUCCUGGAGCUCAACUCCAGAACUGCCUUUGAUACUGAAGAUCUUGAGUUCGGGAGAGGUGAGUGGAACUGCGAGUGUAGAGGUGAAAUUCGUAGAUAUUCGCAAGAACACCAGUGGCGAAGGCGGCUCACUGGCCCGAUACUGAUGCUGAGGCACGAAAGCGUGGGGAGCGAACAGG